rnacentral:lncRNA from 1 species
GUUUAAGUAUGCAGGAGAUAUCAGUCACAUUUAUAGCAUCAUCAAACCAGAAUUAUUCACUGAGUGGUUCAAGCCCUGAAUGCUGAUUGGCUGACAUCCUUGGUAUAUCAGACCGUAUUCCACGGGUAUGACGAAACAUGUAUUUUUGCUGCUCUAAUUACGUUGGUAACCAGUUUAUAAUAGCAAUAGGGCACCUUGGGGUUUGUGGUAUAUGGCCAAUAUGCUAAGGGCGGUAUCCAGGUGUUGAAUCGUGCGUAAGAACAGCCCUUAGCCGUGGUAUAUUGGCCAUAUACCACACCCCCUCGUGCCUUAUUGCUUAAAUAUACACUUCUGAGGUGACUACUAGCAUUUGGGAUAAAUGCACUAGCAGGCAGGUUGUUUUUAGUUUUAGAAUAGCCUGAGAAUUAAUAUUUCAUAGUAGAUACACUGUAAAUGAACUGUAUUAUAUUUAAAAAAAAAAAAAACUUUGUAAAGAGAUGUUCUAUAUUUUGUAAUGAUGUACCAUUUCAAAAGAAGGUCAGCAAUACACGCCGUAAUGAAUCCUAUUAUGCUACCAGGAAAGAAGUUCGCUGGUUUUAUUAUUUUAUUAGGUACAAUAUUCUGACAUGAAUUGGCCUUUUUUCUUUGUUGUUGCUCAUAUGCAUCCUUGGCUUGUCUGCGAAACCGUUUGGUUCUUGGCGUAACAACACAGCUGCACAAGAUAUGCAAAUGUGUUUUUUUUUACUUGUUUUAUGAGCGAGCAUAAAAGAACACUUUAUGCGUUACUCGAACCACGCCGGUACCAGUACCACAACGUUAAGUCCCCCCCCCUUACUAAGAGCAUCUUUGUUGGACUUGAAGUUAGCUAGGCUUCAAGGAGGCUCCUCCACCUUAAUAAAGAUGUGACGAUAAACAUUUGUUUGCAUAUGUUGUGCAGGUGCACAGCACAGGAAGGACGCUGCUUCACCCAUUUUGAAAUUCAUUCUACAACUUCAUUCACUUCAUCUAUCCCAACUGAAAUGCCUUCUGCUGCUGAAAGAAAACGAUACGAUCGUAAGAAGAUAGACCGGAUUGGCAUGGUGGCUGACUGGUGAGGCACGUAUUCAUCAGGGAUGUUCACAGGACAGAUGAGACCAUAAUGAGGCAUCAUGGUCUAGGUGGUUCCACAGUCUCUGCCAUUGUUCUCUUUUUCUGUUGUGUUGUCGUGUCUUAUUGGGUCUGAUGUGUUUAAGCCGGAGAGAGGCUAAGCAAUACUAAACCCCGCUCUCUCGGCGUCUCUCUCUCCGGCUUCUCUCUGCGUACACUAUACCUCGUGGUGGUCCAGCACCGUCUGGGGAAAACAUAUCAGCCUCCCUCUCAACCAACCAGUCUCUUUCCCACAGCGAGCUUCUCCUUCCAAUGAGAAGCGAGCGUUUGUACCACGGCUCGUUUUUUACGAGAAAACGUUACUCUUGUUGCUCUUGACGAAAGUUGAACAUUGAUGGACCACAAAAUGACUUUACACAAACAGACUAAAUCUAGACGACAAAGGAUCAAGCUUUUUUUCCAGGCGCUGCCCUGGAGAUUUUGAAUAAGCACAGAUGAAGGGUAGGUGAUGAGACGUGGGAUCUGUAGUUCGUGAGUGUUUGAUUUGUAGUUGGUGAGUUGGCAAUGCGUGCGCAGUCAACCGAAUACUGUCGUGAAAAUGUAGGUUUUCCACUUUGUGUGCACAUUGAAAGGGCUCUUUUGAAUCGUUUGUGAGUUUAAAAAAAGGUGUUCUGGUCUUUUUGUUGAUAACUAUCUUGUGAAAGGACCAAUGCGAAUUCCAGGCACAUUGUACUAUUCGUAGCAAUUACUGAUAAACUGAAAAUAUGCAUUGUUUUUGUAAACACUUGUGUUAAGCAAAAGAUAAAACCGACUUACUUUUACCUCAUGUCAGGGAUUCCUGAACAAAGAAUAGAGAAAAUGAUUUGGUUCUAUACCAAUGGUAUUUAAAUAUUAGCACAUAGCUGUUUGUCUUUGCACAAGUAACUGUAUAGUAC